CUCGGUGGAGGCCAAGCAUUCCAGAUGGUAUAGCUACAGCUGAAGGAGGGCCAUCUGAUCCACAUUGGACUGUGAUUUUCCAAUCUUGCCUGGAGUGAAGAAUUUGGUGGAGUGGGGCAUGACAACAUUCCAACAGCAGGAAUCUCUUAUCUAGGUUAUGUUAGGAUCUUGCUACUAAAAGUGUGUCCAUGGACUGGCAGCUUCUACAUCACCUGGGAGCUUGUUAAAAAUGCCGACUUUACAUGUUAACAAGAUCGACAGAUGAUUCCUAUGCACAGCCAAGUUUGAGAAGCAUUGUUUUCGAAUGCUUCCCCCUCCUUCCUCAACACAUAUGUACCCAAACAUACUGAGAUUGAGGCCA